rnacentral:rRNA from 1 species
AGAAUCAACGCUGGCGGCGUGCCUCAGACAUGCAAGUCGAACGCGAAAGUCCCCUUCGGGGGACAAGUAGAGUGGCGCACGGGUGAGUAACACGUAGGUAAUCUACCUUCGGAUGGGGAAUAACAACCGGAAACGGUUGCUAAUACCGCAUAAUGCAGCGGCACCUAAUGGUGACAGUUGUUAAAGCGGGGGAUCGAAAGACCUCGCGUCUGAAGAGGAGCCUGCGGCGGAUUAGCUAGUUGGUAGGGUAACGGCCUACCAAGGCGACGAUCC